rnacentral:rRNA from 1 species
UGGAGAGUUUGAUCCUGGCUCAGAUUGAACGCUGGCGGCAGGCCUAACACAUGCAAGUCGAACGGUAACAGGAAGCAGCUUGCUGCUUYGCUGACGAGYGGCGGACGGGUGAGUAAUGUCUGGGAAACUGCCUGAUGGAGGGGGAUAACUACUGGAAACGGUAGCUAAUACCGCAUAACGUCGCAAGACCAAAGUGGGGGACCUUCGGGCCUCAUGCCAUCAGAUGUGCCCAGAUGGGAUUAGCUAGUUGGUGGGGUAACGGCUCACCAAGGCGACGAUCCCUAGCUGGUCUGAGAGGAUGACCAGCCACACUGGAACUGAGACACGGUCCAGACUCCUACGGGAGGCAGCAGUGGGGAAUAUUGCACAAUGGGCGCAAGCCUGAUGCAGCCAUGCCGCGUGUAUGAAGAAGGCCUUCGGGUUGUAAAGUACUUUCAGUGAGGAGGAAGGCAUGAUGCUUAAUACGCAUCGUGAUUGACGUUACUCACAGAAGAAGCACCGGCUAACUCCGUGCCAGCAGCCGCGGUA